rnacentral:rRNA from 1 species
AGCAGUCGCCACGGUAAUACGAAGGGUGCAAGCGUUACUCGGAAUUACUGGGCGUAAAGCGUGCGUAGGUGGUGGUUUAAGUCCGUUGUGAAAGCCCUGGGCUCAACCUGGGAAUUGCAGUGGAUACUGGGUCACUAGAGUGUGGUAGAGGAUAGUGGAAUUUCCGGUGUAGCAGUGAAAUGCGUAGAGAUCGGAAGGAACAUCUGUGGCGAAGGCGACUAUCUGGGCCAACACUGACACUGAGGCACGAAAGCGUGGGGAGCAAACAGGAUUAGAUACCCCCGUAGUCCCUGUCUCUUAACA